GCCUAAGUUAGGGAGGCAGACGAGACCAUUGCAGGCUUAGCCUAGCUUAGCCUAGGCUAGAGUAGCUGAGGGACCUUGGAGGACCUAGCUUAGCUUAGCUCAGCUUAGAGUAGCCUAGGUUUCGGAGGCAGACGAGACCAUUGCACAGCUAGGAUAGGGAGGUAGACGAAACUUUUGUGACUUAGCUUAGCUUUGCUUAGGCUAGAGUAGGUCCCUCAGCUACUCUAUCCCAAGCUAAGCUACGCUAGGUCCGCAAUGGUCUCUUCUGCCUCCCUAACCUGGCUACUCUAUGCUAAGCUAAGCUAAGCUAAGCUACGCUAAGUCCUCUAAGGUCUGUCUGCUACUCUAGCCUAAGCUAAUCUUAGCUACGCUAUGUUCUCUAAGGUCGCUCAGCUACUAUAGCCUAAUCUAAGCUACCUAAGUUUGCAAUGGUCUCGUCUGCCUCCCUAACCUAGGCUACUCUAGGCUAAGCUAAGCUAAGCAAAGCAAGGUCCUCUAAGUUUCCUCAGCUACUCCAGCCUAAGC